AACUAAAAAUAGCUCAACAUCAACAUCUUAAAAUUAUUUAACAGACUAAAACAAAACAUUUAACAAUAAUUAAAGUACAAGGCGAUAGAAAUUUUAUUUGACGCUAUAGAGAAAGUACCGCAAGGGAAAACUGAAAGAAACUUAUAAGUAAGAAACAGCAAAGCUUAAGACUUUUACCUUUUGCAUAAUGAUUCAACCAGAAAACUUUAGCAAAAAGAAUUAAAGUUAAAUUUCCCGAAACCAGACGAGCUACCUACCAGCAGCCUACAGGGCAAACUCAUCUAUGUGGCAAAAUAGUGAAGUGACUGAUAGGUAGAGGCGACAAACCUAUCGAGCCUGGUGAUAGCUGGUUGUCCAGAGCAGAAUAUUAGUUCUAAUUUAAGUCUACCUACCAAUAAACAAAUUGUAAUGUAUACUUAAAUAAUAAUCUAAAAGGGUACAGCCUUUUAGAUAUGGGAUACAACCCAAACUAGAGAGUAUAUUUUUAAAACCACAAUAGUAGGCCUAAGAGCAGCCACCAACUAAGAAAGCGUUCAAGCCCAACAGUACAAAAACCUAAUCUCACAAUAAAAAUUCAACUCCUAUGUAAAAACUGGACUACUCUAUUGCUAAAUAGAGGCAAUAAUGUUGAUAUGAGUAACAAGAAAAUUUUCUCCUUGCAUAACUGUAUAUCAGAACGAAUAAAUCACUGAUAGUUAUCAAAAUCAAUAUAACCAAAACUUAACUUCUUAAUAUUAAUUGUUAAACCAACACAGGAAUGCAAUAAAGGAAAGAUUAAAAAAAGUAAAAGGAACUCGGCAAACACAAACCUCGCCUGUUUACCAAAAACAUCACCUCUAGCAUAAAAAAUAUUAGAGGCACUGCCUGCCCGGUGACUUCAGUUUAACGGCCGCGGUAUCCUGACCGUGCAAAGGUAGCAUAAUCAUUUGUUCUCUAAAUAAGGACUUGUAUGAAAGGCUCCACGAAGGUUUUACUGUCUCUUACUUUUAAUCAGUGAAAUUGACAUUUCCGUGAAGAGGCGGAAAUAAAACAAUAAGACGAGAAGACCCUAUGGAGCUUUAAUUAAUUAACUCACUAAGACCCCAUAUAUUUUCUACAAGAAUUAAUUUUGUUUUAGCUGAGUUAACAAUUUAGGUUGGGGUGACCUCGGAGUAAAAUCUAACCCCCGAGAAAAAUCUAUCAAGACUUACAAGUCAAAAUUAUAAUAUUGUACACUGAUCCGCCACGGGCGAUCAACGAAAUAAGUUACCCUAGGGAUAACAGCGCAAUCCUAUUUAAGAGUCCAUAUCGACAAUUAGGGUUUACGACCUCGAUGUUGGAUCAGGACAUCCUAAUGGUGCAGCAGCUAUUAAUGCGUUCGUUUGUUCAACGAUUAAAGUCCUACGUGAUCUGAGUUCAGACCGGAGUAAUCCAGGUCGGUUUCUAUCUAUUUUCAUGUCCCUCCUAGUACGAAAGGACCAGAGAGACAGGGCCCACUUACAAUAAGCGCCUUAAUAAAGCAGAUGAAAUAAUCUUAAUCACAUUACCAAUACUAGUAUCCAAGAUAAAGGAACC
rnacentral:rRNA from 1 species